GUGACGUUUAAAUGAAAAUAUGCACGAGUCGCGACUGAUGACCGAUGGUGGGCGUGGUCACUCAGCUCAUGCCUACACACCUGUGGCACAUCAGUCUACUCAGCACUCCUGUUCCUCAUCAGCCAUUUACGUUCUUCAUAAGCCAGGCCAACCCUCCAGUCCCCGCUGGAUCGUCUUAUUUUUUCCGGUCUCCUGGAAUAUUCUCUGCACCUCCGCCUAGCUGUCUACUUCACCAGUGUACUGGAUCGUCACAAACCCUCCAGCCGGCUCGCUUACACCCACUGCUCCAUCAGCUGUACUCGCCUUUUUUUUUCCCUCGUACAAUAUCCAAAUAAAACCUCACCUUUAGUGAUGGUCAAAUGAAG